rnacentral:rRNA from 1 species
GUCCUACGGGAGGCAGCAGUAGGGAAUAUUGCACAAUGGGGGAAACCCUGAUGCAGCGACGCCGCGUGAGUGAUGAAGGCCUUCGGGUCGUAAAGCUCUGUCGUAUGGGACUAACACAAUGAAGGUACCAUGCAAGAAAGGAUCGGCUAACUUCGUGCCAGCAGCCGCGGUAAGACGAGGGAUCCUAGCGUUGUUCGGAAUUAUUGGGCGUAAAGCGGGUGUAGGCGGACUUAUAAGUCAGGUGUGAAAUCCCAGGGCUCAACCCUGGAAGUGCACUUGAUACUGUAAGUCUUGAGUGUGGUAGAGGCUAUUAGAAUUCCUGGUGUAGUGGUGAAAUACGUAGAUAUCAGGAGGAAUACCGGAGGCGAAGGCGGAUAGCUGGGCCAACACUGACGCUGAGACCCGAAAGCGUGGGGAUCAAACAGGAUUAGAUACCCCUGUAGUCA